UACGAAGGGGGCUAGCGUUGCUCGGAAUCACUGGGCGUAAAGCGCACGUAGGCGGCUUUCUAAGUCAGGGGUGAAAUCCUGGAGCUCAACUCCAGAACUGCCUUUGAUACUGAGGAUCUUGAGUUCGGGAGAGGUGAGUGGAACUGCGAGUGUAGAGGUGAAAUUCGUAGAUAUUCGGAAGAACACCAGUGGCGAAGGCGACUGACUGGACAAGUAUUGACGCUGAGGUACGAAAGCGUGGGGAGCAAACAGG
rnacentral:rRNA from 1 species